GUGCGCGGCUGGGGACCUGAGGGCGAGGAGCGAGGACACACACCGAGGACUCUUGCGAGGGAUCUCGGGGCCCAGCUCGGCCUCCCUCCUAGCGCUGGGGGCCUGCCCGGAACCCGAGUCCGCGGCUGUCCCUGGGGUUUGGCGCUGCGCGGAGGUCGGGUCUGGGGACCGCAGCGACUCUGGGUCUUCGGGUUGUCCCCUCGGAGGGAGGGCCCACGGGCGGGGACAUCGGGACUUGCCCUUUCCUCGGCGCAGCGGAGCUGGGGCGUCGCCGACUCAGAAGGUGCUUUCCGAGACCUCCAGGGAUCUCCGAGGCGAGGAAACCCGGGCCCCGGACAGACCGACCCUGGGCUGAAGCUCAGGGCCCUGUCUGCUCUGUGGACUCAACAGUUUGUGGCAAGACAAGCUCAGAACUGAGAAGCUGUCACCACAG
rnacentral:lncRNA from 1 species